AUCGUGCGGGGAGCUUUUUCGCGCUUCUCAGUCCCUUCCCGUAAAAACCUGCGAGCCCUUUCUCACGCCGGACGACUCGGCGGAGCGCGCAGACCGGAUCACACGAUGACCGGUGAAGGGAUGCGGCGGCCCGACAGCGAGCUGGUCUGUCGGGUCCGCGGCCCCGGCGACCCUGGCUGGGGCCGGUCCUGUCACCCUACGUCCCAGGGCCGAGCACGGACCGAGACGCAGAACGUUGCUGGAGAGGACACCGCUGCGGGUCAGCGCGGUUAUCGAAGGCGUCGUGGUUGGAGGAGGUGGUUGGCGAGCCGUGAAAUUGGAUAACUUUGAGGAAAGGAAGAGAUCAUUUCCUAACCUGAGCCGAAGUGCAAAAACACAUGGUCGAGACACCCCGGCUGCUGAGAGUGCAGAAGACCAAUCUAAAUGCAAUGUAGUGUUUUAAUGCACGGGCAAGGAAAGCCAGAGGAGAGGAUCUUAAAGUCCACCGGGACGCAAGGAGACUUCAAGCUUGCAGGUUAUCCAGUCAAGGACCGGAGUGGCGAGGCAAUGGCUGAAAGAUGAGCCUACAGUUCCCUCAAGCAUGAACGAGGAAGGGGUGCAAUCUACAUGGGGCAGAAGUGUUUUCUAAAUUCCUCUGAAGUCCAGAUUGAAGUUUUUGGUAACUCAUCUGCAUUGUGUGCUUAGAGUGAAGGCUGAGGCUGUAACUAUCUCAGCAAUAUGACUCAGGCAGGCUGAAUGCAGUGUAAGCAGAAGGUUUCGGCAUCUUUCGCUUUUACGUUCUCUCUCACCCCCUCCCCAAAGACUCUAGAGGAAGGUUGUUAUGGGUUGAAUUGUGUUCCUCCAAAAAAGAUAUGUUGAAAUCCUAA